rnacentral:rRNA from 1 species
GGAAUUACUGGGCGUAAAGCGCACGUAGGCGGUCUUUUAAGUCAGAGGUGAAAGCCCGGGGCUCAACUCCGGAAUUGCCUUUGAAACUGGAAGACUUGAACACGGGAGAGGUGAGUGGAAUUCCGAGUGUAGAGGUGAAAUUCGUAGAUAUUCGGAGGAUCACCAGUGGCGAGGGCGGCUCACUGGACCGUUGUUGACGCUGAGGUGCGAAAGCGUGGGGAGC